rnacentral:lncRNA from 1 species
GAAAUAAUAAAAGGGAGUGGAUACACUAUCAAUACAAAAGAUAAACAAAUUAAAAAACAAAAAAAUAAUAAUAAAUAAAACAAUAAUAAGAAAGCAAUAAAUAAAAACUAUAUAAAAGAUAAAAAAAGACUGAAAAUUUAGGUGUAGAUAGGAAAAUGCUCUACGCCCAAAGGAGAGAGUCUCAUAGGGGUGCACUGAGUAAUUAGGGGGUGUGGAGGAGACUUUAUUUUCU